rnacentral:rRNA from 1 species
CCGCGGGAUUAGAGUUUGAUCCUGGCUCAGGACGAACGCUGGCGGCGUGCCUAAUACAUGCAAGUAGAACGCUGAAGAGAGGAGCUUGCUCUUCUUGGAUGAGUUGCGAACGGGUGAGUAACGCGUAGGUAACCUGCCUUGUAGCGGGGGAUAACUAUUGGAAACGAUAGCUAAUACCGCAUAACAAUGGAUGACACAUGUCAUUUAUUUGAAAGGGGCAAUUGCUCCACUACAAGAUGGACCUGCGUUGUAUUAGCUAGUAGGUGAGGUAACGGCUCACCUAGGCGACGAUACAUAGCCGACCUGAGAGGGUGAUCGGCCACACUGGGACUGAGACACGGCCCAGACUCCUACGGGAGGCAGCAGUAGGGAAUCUUCGGCAAUGGGGGCAACCCUGACCGAGCAACGCCGCGUGAGUGAAGAAGGUUUUCGGAUCGUAAAGCUCUGUUGUAAGUCAAGAACGAGUGUGAGAGUGGAAAGUUCACACUGUGACGGUAGCUUACCAGAAAGGGACGGCUAACUACGUGCCAGCAGCCGCGGUAAUACGUAGGUCCCGAGCGUUGUCCGGAUUUAUUGGGCGUAAAGCGAGCGCAGGCGGUUUGAUAAGUCUGAAGUUAAAGGCUGUGGCUCAACCAUAGUUCGCUUUGGAAACUGUCAAACUUGAGUGCAGAAGGGGAGAGUGGAAUUCCAUGUGUAGCGGUGAAAUGCGUAGAUAUAUGGAGGAACACCGGUGGCGAAAGCGGCUCUCUGGUCUGUAACUGACGCUGAGGCUCGAAAGCGUGNGGAGCGAACAGGAUUAGAUACCCUGGUAGUCCACGCCGUAAACGAUGAGUGCUAGGUGUUGGAUCCUUUCCGGGGAUCAGUGCCGCAGCUAACGCAUUAAGCACUCCGCCUGG